rnacentral:rRNA from 1 species
AUGGCCCAUGCAAGAGGCAUCCUCCUCCCCACGUACUGCCUGAUCAGCUGCUACCUUUUUCUAGCCGCCUACACAGCUCCUCGGGCCGCCGCACUAUCCUUCGACUACGACUUCACCAUCCCGACGGACCACGAGCAGCUCAACUUCAUCAACGCGUCCUACGCCGGCAGGGACCGCCUCAUCCUCACCGACGACAUCUCCAACCUCACCGGCGGCGUCACGCACCGGCAGCCAGUGCGCCUGUGGGACGGCGCCGGCAGGAGGGCCAGCUUCACCACCAGCUUCCACUUCGCCAUCGUCCAUGGCGACAACACAACGGACAACUCCAGACGGGGGGGCGGCACUAUGUCGUUCUUCAUCGGGCCUUUCCCGCCGCCGGGCUGGGAGGUCGGCCUCCUCGGGCUCUUCAGCCACAAGAACAGCACCGGCGCCGGCGACUCGCGGCACACCCUCGGCGUGGAGUUCGACACGCGCCGGAACGACGACGGCUGGGACCCCUCCAGCGAGGACGGCACCGCCAGCAGAGGCGACCACAUCGGCAUCGACGUCAACGGCACCAGGUGUAACCUGACCAGAAGCCUGCCGCCGUUGAGCCUCCGUGGCACCUUGUGGGCGAGCAUCACGUACGACGCCGAGUCCAAGGUGAUGAAAGUGGUGCUUCGGAAAACUGAGCUGGCGGCGGAGUCGAGCAUGACCUACGAGUUCAACGCGACGAUGGAUCUCAGGGACGACGCCGGCCUUGUGCAGGAUGCCGCCGUCGGGUUCACGGCGGCCACGGGACUCCUCAGCCAGUCGCACCAGCUGCUCGCUUGGAAGUUCUCGUACUCUGAGCUAGUAGUGGUGACGGAUAACUUCUCCAAGGAUAGGAAAAUUGGCAAGGGAUCCUUUGGCGAUGUGUACAGAGGGCGGCUAACAAUGCCGGACCUACGGGCGGUGGCGGUGAAGGAGAUGCGGCAGCCGACGUCGAAGAGGAACCAGAAGAACUAUGUGCACGAGAUCGAGACCUUGUGCCAGCUGCGCCACAAGAACCUCUUGUCACUCAUCGGUUGGUGCGACGACAAUGGUCGGCUGUUGCUUGUCUAUGAGCUCGAACCCAACGGUAGCCUCAGCGACCAUCUCCACGUCAGCGGCGACGGUGGGGGGACAUUGACAUGGCCACAGAGGUACAAUAUCCUUCUCGGCGUCGCAACCGCCAUCGACUACCUCCACAAUGGCGCCUACGACUCGGCCAGGAGGUACGUGCUACACCGGGAUAUCAAGCCUAGCAACGUGAUGCUCGGAGAGGGCUUCGAGGCCAAGCUCGGUGACUUUGGGCUCGUGCGGCAAGUCAGCUGCCACGAUGGCGUAUGUACUCCUUGUACCACCGUGAUUGGGAGCAUGGACUACAUGGACCCCAGGUACAUCGAGACCGGCACGCUGAGCCCAGCCUCUGAUAUAUAUAGCUUUGGGUUGGUUCUGCUGGAGGUAGCCACCGGUGUCAGACCAGUCGUCCCAGGAAGGGCAUCGAACCGAAACAACCUCAUCGCCGCCGUUAGGGAGUCUUAUAGCAGGGACGCCAUCCUUGAGAUGCUAGAUGAGCGGAUGAGAGGGGAUUUGGAGCAGUGGCGGUGGCAGAUGGAGCGUGUCAUGUCAACCGGCCUGAUGUGUGUCGAGCAAGAGCGUGAAAAGCGGCCAUCCAUCAAAGAUGUCAUCAACUUGCUCUCCAAGCAUGAGCAAUCUCUGAUAUCCGUUUGGGACAUGAAAGAUUCUUCAAUGAGGACGAAGGAUCGAUGUCGUUCCAUACUAGCUAGCAAGGUUGGCUUUGCAAAUGCAAGGGCAUCAUCUUUAGCGUAUUGA